rnacentral:rRNA from 1 species
CAGCCGCCGCGGUAAUACGUAGGGGGCGAGCGUUGUCCGGAUUUACUGGGCGUAAAGGGUGAGUAGGCGGUUAUAUAAGUCAGAUGUAAAAGGCUAUGGCUUAACCAUAGUUAGCAUUUGAAACUGUAUGACUUGAGUGCAGGAGAGGUAAGCGGAAUUCCUAGUGUAGCGGUGAAAUGCGUAGAUAUUAGGAGGAACACCAGUGGCGAAGGCGGCUUACUGGACUGUAACUGACGCUGAGUCACGAAAGCGUGGGUAGCAAACAGGAUUAGAUACCCUGGUAGUCCACGCCGUAAACGAUGAGUGCUAGGUGUUGGGUAGUAAUACUCAGUGCCGAAGUAAACACAAUAAGCACUCCGCCUGGGGAGUACGUACGCAAGUAUGAAACUCAAAGGAAUUGACGGGGACCCGCACAAGCAGCGGAGCAUGUGGUUUAAUUCGAAGCAACGCGAAGAACCUUACCAAGGCUUGACAUCCCCUUGACCGGCACAGAGAUGUGCCCUCUCCUUCGGGAGCAAGGGUGAGAGGUGGUGCAUGGCC